UGUAACUUCUUGGUUUUCAAUAGUCCUUCCACCACAAUUAGUUUUCAAUAUUACUGCUGGCAGAAAGUUGAUUAAUGUUCUCUUUUCUUUGUCAGGAGACAAAUAUGAGGCGUAAAUUGGGAUUUGAUAUGCUCCAGUCUUGGCAGGGGCGAAAAGCCACAUGGUGCAUAUGGGGGUCAAUAUCCCUCAUUUUUUUGGGCAAAAACAUAUUUAUCCUAAAAAGCCAAAUCACAUAUUUCUGUAUGGCAUGUGAUAAAAAUGCAUAAAUUAUUUUUUAAACCAAGCGAGUUGAUGGAUGUAAUCUUUGUUACCAAUAUGAAUGUUAAUAAUUAUUAUUAUAUUUUAAUGAUGUAAAUUCUUUUUUAAACCAGAGAGUUGAUGGAUGUAAUCGUUGUUACCGAUAUAAUGUCAUGAA
rnacentral:lncRNA from 1 species